rnacentral:lncRNA from 1 species
GUCUCUCUGGUGCCAAAACGUACCCAUCGAACUUGUUAUUCUCUAUCUCGAUUGAUAUCAGACGGAAGCAGGUACGACACUUGUAUCAGUCAUUGAUUAUUGUGAUUAUCAUGUCCGUCAGGGCUAUAUAUGGUUUAAGUCGAUGUACCUGUUUCACUUUGCUGAAUUUUAGGGUUUGUUUGAAACAUAUAUAUUGUUCAUGAAUUUAAUUCGUUCUCUGGAAGAAAAUAACUGUUUAAUAGCUCAAAACUACAUGAACAAAUGAGAAAGUUAACUAGUUUAAAAGUCCAUGUGACACUUGAAGCACUAUUGGGAAACACAACACUAGAGAAGCAUCAUUAUGGAGUAUCAAAACCCACGAACAACUCCUUGCCCAAAUAAUUUGGAUAUCAUCAGCACCCUUCCGCAAAACAUUAUUGAAGAAAUUCUAAGUCUAAUGCCAUUCCAAGAUGCGCUGAGAACCUAACGAGCUUCACAUGUGAGGCUCGAUAAACAAAUGAACUUUCUUUUAGGCUCGGGCUCGAUAAGGCUCGGCUCGCUUCGAGCUUUUUUUCGAGUCGAUCUCGAGUCGCUAGCGAGCCGCUCGGCUUGUUUGCACCCCUAGUUAAAGGGUGGGUUAGUCUAAGCCUAUUGUUUAUGUGACAGUGUUAUACAACUUUUAGUUAAACCACAACAUAUAAAUUAAGAGCACUCACAUUCUAUGGAAAGGGAUGUGAUAUAGGGCUAUAAACGAACCGAAUCUUCAGCGAACAGUUCGUGAACCGUUCGGCGGGAAGUUCGUUUAUGUUCGUUCGUUUAAUAAAUGAACGAACAUGAACAAGAAAUUUCGUUCGAUUAGUUAAAUGAACGAACAUGAACAGAGGUGUCGUUCGUUCGAUUGUGUUCGUGAACGUUCAGUAAGGUGUUCGUGAACAUUCGUUGAUUUGUGUUCGUUUUGUGUUUUAAUUGAAGAUCUUUGUACUUUCUUAUAUAUUAUUUGUACUUUUUAUAUUAUUAAACUUUUUAUUUAUUUUAUUUCCCUAACAAUUAAACUAGAAAACCCACUU